CCUCCGCCUCAUCGGCUAGCUCGGCCUCGAAUCAACCUGGAGGCCCCCUCCGGCCGCUGCAUCGCCCUUCCUCCGCACCCCUCUCCGACCACCAGCGACGGAGUGUGAUGGCAUCGACUCGCUAGGGUUCCCGUGGCGAUGGAGCAGGACAUCGACUCGGAGUCUCCCUGGCUGAAUUGAUUAGGUGGGUUAGCCAAUCCGGGUUCUACGU
rnacentral:lncRNA from 1 species